UACGUAGGGGGCGAGCGUUGUCCGGAAUUACUGGGCGUAAAGCGCACGUAGGCGGCUUGGUAAGUUAGGGGUGAAAGCCUGGAGCUCAACUCCAGAAUUGCCUUUAAGACUGCCGAGCUAGCAGGUGAGAGAGGUGAGUGGAAUUCCGAGUGUAGAGGUGAAAUUCGUAGAUAUUCGGAAGAACACCAGUGGCGAAGGCGGCUCACUGGCUCAUACUGGACGCUGAGGUGCGAAAGCGUGGGGAGCAAACAGG
rnacentral:rRNA from 1 species